rnacentral:misc_RNA from 1 species
AAGGAGAAGAAGAUGAGGAGGAUAUAAAGAGAGCUAGAGGCGUAGGAGCUAAUGGUAGUGCGAGAUGAGUUGAGAAAUGGAUGGGACGCGAUGCGAUUGCAGGAAGGGGAAGCACAAUCUUCAAUCCCAACUUCUCUACACCACAUGAUGCGAUUGCAAUGCGAGAUGUAUUGCUGGGUUUAGAUUUUGGGUUUGGUUUUGUAAAGAUGAGGAAAGAGCCUUAACUGGGUUUUAUUUAAAUUCUGUAUUUGCAGUUGGGUUUUAUAAAGGCUCUCGUUUGAUUUUUCAUGUUCUUAAGUUUCAUUUGAUGAGUUAGAGAUUUUGAUUUUCCUGAUGGGUUAUAAUUUGUUGUUUUUGAGUUGUUAGUUUUGUUAU